rnacentral:rRNA from 1 species
AUUGAACGCUGGCGGCAGGCUUAACACAUGCAAGUCGAGCGGGGUGAUGGUGCUUGCACUAUCACUUAGCGGCGGACGGGUGAGUAAUGCUUAGGAAUCUGCCUAUUAGUGGGGGACAACAUCUCGAAAGGGAUGCUAAUACCGCAUACGUCCUACGGGAGAAAGCAGGGGAUCACUUGUGACCUUGCGCUAAUAGAUGAGCCUAAGUCGGAUUAGCUAGUUGGUGGGGUAAAGGCCGACCAGGGCGACGAUCUGUAGCGGGUCUGAGAGGAUGAUCCGCCACACUGGGACUGAGACACGGCCCAGACUCCGACGGGAGGCAGCAGUGGGGAAUAUUGGACAAUGGGGGGAACCCUGAUCCAGCCAUGCCGCGUGUGUGAAGAAGGCCUUAUGGUUGUAAAGCACUUUAAGCGAGGAGGAGGCUCUUUUGGUUAAUACCCAAGAUGAGUGGACGUUACUCGCAGAAUAAGCACCGGCUAACUCUGUGCCAGCCGCCGCGGUAA